UACGGGGGGGCAAGCGUUGUUCGGAAUUACUGGGCGUAAAGGGCUCGUAGGCGGCCAACUAAGUCAGACGUGAAAUCCCAGGCUCAACCUGGGAACUGCGUCUGAUACUGGAUGGCUUGAAUUCGGGAGAGGGAUGCAGAAUUCCAGGUGUAGCGGUGAAAUGCGUAGAUAUCUGGAGGAAUACCGGUGGCGAAGGCGGCAUCCUGGACCGACAUUGACGCUGAGGAGCGAAAGCUAGGGGAGCAAACGGGG
rnacentral:rRNA from 1 species